GAAAUAGAAACACGAUCUGGCUGCGACAUCUGUCACCCUAUUGAUCGCCAGGGUUGAUUCAGCUGAUCUGGCUGGCUAGGCGGGUGUCCCCUUCCUCCCUCACUGCUCCAUGUGUGUCCCUCCCGAAGCUUCGAGCUGGGUCGAAGAGGACGACCUUCCACGAAUACAGGAGGACCAGUCUUCGGUAAAGGGUUUACGAGUAGCUGCGCUCCCCUGCUAGAACCUCCAAACAAGCUCUCAAGGUCCAAACACACAAAAAUGUAAAGAGCAACACAAAGAGUUAGUUCUUUGAGAAAAUCAAUAUGAUCAAU
ensembl:misc_RNA 7SK 7SK RNA